CAUUCCCCAACGUUCAUCAGCAAUAGCAGUGUCAAAAAUUCACAGCAAUUCGAAUUUUCCUAUCCCAACGUUCAUAUUUUAUCCCCAAAUUCAACCUUUGUAUUAACCCCUUCUCUCAUCGUUCUCAGGGUUAGAAAAUUGAAAUUAGAUAGAAAUUAGGAGCUUUUUGACGCUCUUACUUUGUUUGUCCCGUUUCUCGAUCGGAGUUUCUUGUGUGGUAGUGAAAAGUUCUUGCUUAUCUCGUAGUCUCGUAUUGCAGGAGGAAUGAGAGAUUAAGGUCAGGGAGCAGCAGGAGUCAAUAAGAAAUCAGAGUAAAUUACAGUGUCUGUGACAGAUAAGUGAAUGUCGAGGAAAUAGUUCAACACAACCUUUUACAAUUUGAUGGAAUUUGAUGGAAGAAAAUGACCCUGCAAAGAUCUCUUACGUGUAAAAAUGAAGAUUUAUAGGUAGAUUUCACAUAAAAUUGAAUUGGAAUGAGCCACAAAACCAACUGAUCCCUGUAUGUCAUAAUUGUUUCCUGGGUUUAUAUAACAUGAUCAAACUAAUACAACAUUUUUAUAGGUCAAUUUGAAGCCUUGUGAUCUCUUAAAUUUUUGUAUUAGAUCAAAAAGCACGAGGACAAAGAUAUCUUGUUAAUUUUCCUUAUUAGACUCUUUAUAUUUUCAAUGAAA